GACGAACGCUGGCGGCGUGCUUAACACAUGCAAGUCGAACGGAAAGGCCUGCUUUCCCUUGUGGAUUGCGGGUACUCGAGUGGCGAACGGGUGAGUAACACGUGAGUGAUCUGCCCCCAACUUGGGUAUAAGCCUGGGAAACUGGGUCUAAUUCCCGAUAGGACUGCAGGGUGGUGCCUGUGGUGGGAAACGAUUUUCUAGUGGUUGGGGAUGAGCUCGCGGCCUAUCAGCUUGUUGGUGGGGUAAUGGCCUACCAAGGCGGCGACGGGUAGCCGGCCUGAGAGGGUGGACGGCCACAUUGGGACUGAGAUACGGCCCAGACUCCUACGGGAGGCAGCAGUGGGGAAUAUGGCACGAUGGGCGGAGGCCUGAUGCAGCGACGCCGCGUGGGGGAUGGCGGCCUUCGGGUUGUAAACUCCUUUCGACCGCGAGGAAGCCACCUGGUUGGAAGGGUGGUGACGGUAGUGGUAGAAGAAGCACCGGCUAACUACGUG
rnacentral:rRNA from 1 species